AUUAGAAAGACUGUCAUUGAGUUAGUGGUGAUGAAAACUAGUGCAGUAGAAAGUGGAGCAGUAACCCAUGGCAACCAGUCAUUGCCUUUAUCUAAAAAGAGAGACCCAACUGAAUAGAUGGGAACAGGGACUUCCCACGUAUAUUCAAGCAGAUUCAAGCCAUAUUUUAAUUCCAUAAAAGAAAAAAAAUUAAGGCCUAAUGCUGUAUGAAGGUAGAGGCACACUUAUUGUUGCUCCUUGUUUCUUUGAAAACCUAAGCCAACCAUAGACACUGGAUAAACCAAAUCCAAAUAUGCUCAUUUAUGGAGAGUCAGAUUACCCCUUUUGGGUGUUUUCACACGCUAGUAACUAGCAGCGGGUUCCCCGCUGCGGGAAACCCACUGCGAGUUACGCUACCAUUCGUCUGUACUGCUACCGAGGAAGGGGACACCCCGAAACGCGUCUAGCAUUGAUAGAUGACCCAGCAACACAGACCACCCACCAGAAGAACUACAUCCUAGAACCUACAUCCACCAUUCUCAACUGCUGGAACCCCCCCCCAGUUUGAGGCCCACCGCCCAGACCUGCGCCUGCCAGCGCUUGAUACACGAAGACGUCGCUCCCACUCACCGCCGGACUGCUGCAAGCCUUCCACCGUGGUUAAUGGCCGGACGCAGAUUUGUGCCACUCCGGACACAGUAAGACCUUCAUACUGACAUCUAUACCAUCCCAGGACGGCCGCCUAGCCUAGCCAGUCCACAGAAGCGAAGUCUGCCCUGACACUUUCACGAGAUCUUCACACAGCGGUGCGGAGUCACCACCCAACAUGUCACCAGAAGUUACGUGGUUUCAAAGGAAGUAAGGGUGUAGGUGCAGUCUUCUAGAUCCGGCCUUUCAGGAGACAAUCGAGAAUAAAGAACAGAUGUAAUGAAUGGUCUGCAGAGUAGGGGUCAGAACUACAGUCUCUAAACGGUUCCUAUAGACAUUAGAGGAAAGGCUGCAGGAUCAGAAACUACUACAUGAUCAGUCAAUACUCCCAAAGAACAAAGAUUGUGUUAUGAAGCUUAAAGGGGCACUCUGUUGCUAGACAUGUAAGCCCCUAUCCAAAGGGGACCCCUGCGAUCUCUGCAGCACCACGCCAGUCAUCCUGUGUACGGUGCAGCAAUCUCUGUCCAGCUUUUGGGAAGGCCCCAUAGACUUAGAAAGGCACCACAGUUCGGUGAUCACUAAAGCCAGGGAUCGAAGUGCACUACUGCACUAAGACCCAGACUGAGCAAAUCUUUUCACUGUGAUAGGUCAAAAGAUGGUUUUUUUUGUUUGUUUUUUAAUGACCGGGACACUUUAAAAGAGAAUAUCUAGGGUUAGAAAUUGACUGUGCCUUGUACUGAAGCCCAUAUGCAAUAUAAGGGUAUGUUCACACUACGGAUUUGUAACUGAAUCUCCGCUAGCAGAAUUCAGCAAGCGAAGAUCCAGCCUGGAAGCCGGCGGUAGGAGCGCGCGGCACUGCGACUUCACCAUUGACGGCUAUGCAGUGCUCGCGGACUUCCGCCCAAAGAAUGAACAUGUUCUUUCUAUGCGCGGAACAAUUUCAGCGGCGGAAUUGUCCGCCGCUGAAAUUCCGCAGUGUGAACAUACCCUAAGGCUGAGUUCACACUGUGGAAUCUCUGGGCAGAAUUUCUG